UCCCUUUUCAUAUAUCUAUCCAUCACUUCCCCACCCCACACACCAACACAAACACGUAGACUAUGUAAUACGCUAUGUCUCCUUCUCCUUUUCGUCUCUUUCUUUGAAAACCCUAGAAAUCUCAGGUUUUUAAGGAAAAGAGGACUUUGAUUCGGUGCAAUUUUAUCCCUUUCUCCUUUUUUUGUCGGUGUACAUAUGGGGUUAUAUUUCGCGGGAUCCCCAAUUUUCUAAGAAAAAAUUGGUUGUUAGAAGUUGGUGCUAUGGAGAGAUCCAAUAGCAGAGAUUUCAAAGACUUGACUAGCUCCUCUGGCUCCAUCUCAGAUGGUGCCCUCUUUGAUGCAUCACAAUAUGCAUUUUUUGGGCGAGAUAUAGCGGAGGAAGUUGAAUUGGGUGGUUUAGAGGACGGACAAGACAAUAGUGAUCUGGGUGUUGGAGGUGGAUUAGGUGAUGACGAGAUACAGGAGUAUCAUUUAUUUGAGAAAGACGAGGGAUCUGUGGUGGGCUCAUUAUCGGACAUAGAUGAUCUAGCAACGACAUUUUCAAAGUUGAACAGAAAUGUCACUGGACCAAGGCAUCCUGGUGUUAUUGGUGACCGUGGAUCAGGCUCUUUUUCAAGGGAAAGUUCAUCUGCAGCUGAUUGGGCGAAAGAAGCAGACUUUCAUGAUUGGUUUGAUCAGCAUUUAUCUGACACUGAAUGUUACCAGGAAAGCAAAAAAUGGUCUUCACAGCCACAUAUCUCUGCAGUGCUUGCAGAGUCAAAACCAUUGUAUAGAACAUCCUCAUACCCCGAGCAACCCCCACAACCUCAACAACUUCAGCACUACUCUAGUGAACCCAUUUUACUACCGAAAUCAUCUUAUACUUCUUUUCCUCCUGGUGGUAGAUCUCAACCCUCACCACAUAGCCUUUCGCGACAAAACAUGUCAUCUCUUUCUGCUGGACCUCAGUCCCCCUAUUCUUCUCUGAAUCUCUCUUCGUUGCCGAACUCUAAUCUGCAUUUGACAGGCUUGGCUCAUGGGCUUCACUAUGGUAGUGGAAACAUCCAACAUUUGAACCCUACUGGUCUUUCUCAUAAUUCUAGGUUGCAAAACCAGUGGAGCAGUCAUGCAGGACUCAUCCAUGGGGACCAUUCUGGUCUCUUAGAUAGUGUCUUGCAGCAUCAAUUUCCUCAUCAAAACAGCUUACUAUCUCCCCAGUUACUGUCCCCACAGCAGCUCCAACAGCAGAGACUUCAUCUUUCAGUUCAGCCUUCUUUAGCUCAUUUUUCAGCGCUAAGAUCCCAAUUGUAUAAUUCCUUCCCUUCACCAUCUCAUCUAGGUAAGUAUGGAUUGGCAGAUUUCAGAGAUUCACGAUCUAAGCCAUCACAGAAGGUUAGACAAAAUGUGCGUUUUUCUAAACAAGGCUCUGAUGCUGCUUGCCACAAAAGUGAAAGUAAUGUGCCACAGUUCCGAUCUAAGUAUAUGACUGGUGAUGAAAUAGAGAGCAUCCUGAAAAUGCAGCAUUCUGCAGCACAUGGCAAUGAUCCAUAUGUAGAUGACUACUAUCACCAGGCCCGCCUUGCAAAGAAAGCAGCUGAGUCUAGGUCAAAAUAUCGCUUUUGUCCAAAUAAGGAACAGUCUUCUCGGUCACGUAAUAGUGCAGAAUCACAGCCUCAUCUUCAUGUUGAUGCUCAGGGGCGGGUGUCAUUUUCUUCCAUCCGCAGGCCUCGUCCACUUCUUGAAGUUGAUCCACCAGGCUUUGUUUGCAUUGACAGCAGUGCUGACCAGAAGAUAUCUGAGAGACCCUUGGAACAGGAGCCAAUGCUGGCAGCUAGAAUUACAAUAGAAGAUGGUUUCUAUCUUCUCACUGAGGUAGAUGACAUUGACAGGCUCCUUCAGUUUAGUCAGCCCCAAGACUGUGGUGCUCAGCUCAAGCGGAAGCGACAGAUCCUGCUGGAAGGCAUGGCCGCCUCACUUCAACUAGUUGAUCCGCUUGGUAAAGGUGGAAGUUCUGUCGGGCUUACUCCUAAAGAUGACAUUGUAUUUCUAUGGUUGGUGUCUCUUCCCAAGGGCCGGAAUCUCAUGUCAAGGUAUCUUCAGCUUCUUCUGCCUGGCAAUGAGCUUGUCAGAAUAGUUUGUAUGGCAAUUUUCCGCCAUUUGAGGUUUUUGUUUGGCGGUCAUCCACCUGAUGUUGGAGCAGCUGAAACCAUCACUGAUCUUGCAAAAGUAGUCUCUAAAUGUGUCACUCUCAUGGACCUUAAUUCACUGAGUGCUUGUCUUGCUGCUGUUGUGUGUUCCUCAGAACAACCACCUCUUCGCCCUCUUGGAAGCCCUGCUGGAGAUGGAGCUUCUAUUAUUUUAAAAUCUGUUCUUGAAGGGGCCACUCAUCUAUUAACUGAUUCUAAGGCUGCUAGCAGUUUCAGCAUGCCUAAUCCUGCCCUUUGGCAGGCAUCUUUUGAUGCCUUUUUUGGUUUACUUACAAAGUAUUGUCUGAGCAAGUAUGACAGUAUCAUGCAAUCGAUUCUAGCACAAUCCCAGCCGGAUGCUGAAAUUAUUGGUGCAGAGGCUGCAAGAGCGGUAAGCAGAGAAAUGCCUGUGGAACUUUUACGUGCUAGUCUUCCACAUACAAAUGACCACCAAAAGAAGCUGUUGUUGAAUUUCGCUCAGCGGUCUAUGCCUGUUACUGGAUUCAGUUCUCAUGGUGGAAGCAGUGGACAUAUAGAUCCCGAAUCUGUAAGCUGUUAGCUGAGAUGGUUUUGUUCGUUGAAGGGCUUUUGGAGACGACUUUGAAGAAACUUGGAAUUCUCAAUCAUCCAAGUUGGGCAAUGAAUACACAAAGGAACGUGACAAGAAGACUUAAAGAAGAGAAUGCCAAUGCGGGAGUUCCUCCCAAUGGCGAUCAAGUUCCUCCUCUUAAAGAAGAUGUUAAUGAUGACCAAGCUCCGGUCCAUACUCCUUCAACGGAUGGUGCCAUCCGGGCUGCUCUUUUCAAAAUGGUCCAAGCCAUCAUUACUCAAGCACAAGCCUCUACUAUCCAAGCUCAAUCCAGAAGGCCAAAGAUAAUCGGGAGGUUGUACCCCGAGCAAACCAAUAAGUUGCUACCAUGUCUUCCAGUCUAAAGGAUUUCACUAUAAUGAAUCCCCCUACUUUCUAUGGGUCCAAGGUUGAAGAAGACUCCCAUGAGUUCAUUGAGAAAUCUACAAGAUCCUCUAUGCUAUGAGGUUGACUACAAGUGAGAAAGCAGAGUUGGCCACUUGAUAGCUCAAAGGUGUGGCCCACACUUGGUAUGUUCAAUGGAGGGACAAUAGGCCGUUAAGGGGUGGACCAGUGACUUGGGAGGUGUUAAAGAAGGCUUUUAUUGAUAGAUUCUUUUUUUAGGGAGAAUAGGGAAGCCAAGGUGGUGGAUUUCAUCAACAUUUACCAAGGAGGGAUGAAAUGAGUUGCUUUGUGACGGGAGUGUCGGAUGACUUUCAAGAAGAGUGUCAUUAGUCUAUGCUACAUGACAAUAUGAAAAUUUCUUGUCUCAUGGUUCAUGCUCAACAAGUGGAAGAGGCAAUGUCUAAGAGAAAGAUUAGAGAUGAGAAGAUGGCAAGAUCUUUUGAUGGUGGUUCUUCAAAGGAUAGGCUUGAUAUCCAAGACAAGCCUAGGUUUUAGAAGAGGUUCUAUAAUCAAUUUCCUUCCAAGUUCUUUAAGGCUCGUGAUGAUAGGGUGUCUAUACCUAAUCCUAAAAAGGGAAGGGAUGCUAGUUCACCAACCAAUAAGCCUACUUGUGCAAAGUGUGGAAAGGGUCACUUAGGGGAAUGCUUAGUUGGAAUGGGAAUUGUUUUGGUUGUGGCAAGAGCGGGUCACAAGGUUAGGGAUUGAACUAAUGUGAAGGGUCAACACAAGGGUAGUGCUCAAGUUAAAGCAAGUGGUUCUAAUGGUGAUCCAAAGAAGAAUCGCUUUUAUGCACUUUGCUCAAGGGGUGAGCAAGAGACUUCUCCCGAUGCGGUGAACGGUUCCGCUCGUUGAAGGGCUUUUGGGGAUGACUUUUAAGAAAACAUGGAAAUCUCAAUCAUCCAAGCUGGUUUGAGUUGUUGAAGAGUUUGGAAGGCAAUAUUAUUAAAGGCUUGGAUUCUUUAUUUCAUCCAAGUAGGGUAGGUCCUCAACUUUCGAGGGCAAUGCCAUCCUCUAGCUUUGGAUUUUGUUAUGAGAAUAUUAACUCUAUCAUUCCUUUCAUUUUUAAUUGAAUAUUGUACUUUUGUAUGACCUACAGAUGGUCUUGUUGAAUUGAUGUAAGGGCUAUGCCCAUAUUGUGAUAUUCGUUUUGAUGGUAUGCGAUGAGACAAUUAUUGAGACUAAUUCUAUAUUUUUAUA